rnacentral:rRNA from 1 species
GACAGAGGGUGCAAACGUUGUUCGGAAUUACUGGGCGUAAAGCGCGUGUAGGCGGCCAUCUAAGUCGGGCGUGAAAUCCCACGGCUCGACCGUGGAAGUGCACUCGAAACUGGAUGGCUAGAGUCCUGGAGAGGAAGGUGGAAUGCUUGGUGUAGAGGUGAAAUUCGUAGAUAUCAAGCGGAACACCGGUGGCGAAGGCGGCCUUCUGGACAGUGACUGACGCUGAGACGCGAAAGCGUGGGGAGCAAACAGG